GUUGUCGUGGCCGAGUAGUUGAGGCGAUAGACUUCAUAUGUUUUAGGAUCUUCCCGCGCAGGUUCGAAUCAGGCCGACAACG
rnacentral:tRNA from 1 species